CCACAUUUAGAAAACCCUAAGCCUAAAUCCAGUAUACCAAAUGUUUUUAAAAAAAAACAGCACUUACCAGAUCCCUAAUUCCAGAAAAUCGCACCACCAAAUAAACCCUAUACACAAAUUUCGUGAAGCUCUUGCAAUUUCGAAGAAGUUUCCAAACGAAAAACGAAAAACGUGAAACCCUAAAACCACAGUCCACACACGAAAAACAACCAAUUUCUUGCAAUUUUGUACUUACCACAGUCCACAAACGAAGCUCUUGCAAUUUUGAAAAUGGUGUUAUUGGUGCUGUUGGGGUUAUGGUGGUGGACUGGUGGAUUUGAUUCCUGAAUAAGUCUGCCAAGGCGUCGUGGAUAUGGAACCCAGGUGAAUGUAUGCUAAGAUGAUUGUUGCUGCCCCUGUUCGGUUUUCUAAUUUCUGUAUACUCUCUGGUCAUGUACUGUUUAUUUUCUAAUUUUGCUGGUGCAGAGAGGACGAAAGUUCUAGUUGGUUCUGGUAGUCACAUUGGCGAAAAGCUCGAAGAGGAUGCCUCUAGUGGGUUGGCCGUUGACGGACGUCGGCGAAAACUCUGCUACAUUGUCCAGGUGCAGAUUCACAAGAAAUGAAAUUUAUUGGUAGAAGGAGAGGUGCUUGUUGAGUUGAUGCAUUAUAUAAAGCUAGCUGUGAAGAAGAGCUAACAGCAAACAGAACCGCAAACAGCAACAAAGACAGGUUCUACCUUUCCAAACAAACUUCCUCUACUAAACGAAUAAGCUACCCUAGAUAUUGAUCCUAUCGAUCCUUUAACAUGAUUGAAUGUUAAAAGCAAGAGGGAGUUGGACUACCAAAUUUGAUCCUGCUGAUUUUAAUGGACAAAUGAUACUCCAAGCAAACGCUUUCAAUGGAUACGCAGGGCGAUCAAAUGCAGCAUCAAUAAUAUCUAGUGCUAUAUAUAUUUGUGCUGGAAGUAAUUUAGAAAAUUAUCCAUAUUGCAAAGUAUGUACGAGUAUGACCCAAGAUAGAACAAUUUUGUUAGGAUAUAAGGGAGAUGUUCUUAGCAAUCAAUUCAGCCGCCAAAAACUUGUUUGCAGCUUCCGUGGGAUGAAAACCAUCGCAGAAAUAUAGGUGCAAGAUAGAUUGGUUUAGCAACAUUAACUGCAAUAGGUUGCUUGCCUAGGAUCUUCCAUUUCUAUGGAUUUGGUGAUAGCAACAAAUGUGUAGGUCAAGGAUAACCAAUUUUAGGCUAUGUUGCAUUUUUUGCAAGUUGACAGAUGUUGAGUUGAGCUUUGGAUUAAAAUAAAUAGCAACAUUGUUUAUUUUGCCUACACAUUUGUCGUUAUCAUCAAAUCCAUAGAAAUGGAUGAUCCUAGGCAAGCAACCUAUUGGAGUUAAUGUUGCUACACCAAUCUAUCUUGCGCCUAUAUUUCCGCGACGGUUUUCAUACCACCGAAGCUGAAAACAAGUUUUUGGUGGCUGAAUUGAUUGCUAAGGACAUCUCCCUUAUAACCUAACAAAACACUUCUAUCUUGAGUCAUACUCGUACAUACUUUGCAAUAUGUAACGUUUUCUGAUCCAUAGAUAGAUUACUUGUCAGGUAUUUGUAAUAAAUUGAUGAGACAAAUUAUAUGUAACGUUUUCAUAUUCUUCUGUUAUGUUCUAUCUAAAAUAGGCAAGUUGCAUAGUUGAAUCAUUUGUCAUUUGUCAGGUGUUUCUAAUAAAUUGUAUGUAACAUUUUCA